GAUGAACGCUGGCGGCGUACCUAAUACAUGCAAGUCGAGCGAACAGACGAGGAGCUUGCUCCUCUGACGUUAGCGGCGGACGGGUGAGUAACACGUGGAUAACCUACCUAUAAGACUGGGAUAACUUCGGGAAACCGGAGCUAAUACCGGAUAAUAUAUUGAACCGCAUGGUUCAAUAGUGAAAGACGGUUUUGCUGUCACUUAUAGAUGGAUCCGCGCCGCAUUAGCUAGUUGGUAAGGUAACGGCUUACCAAGGCAACGAUGCGUAGCCGACCUGAGAGGGUGAUCGGCCACACUGGAACUGAGACACGGUCCAGACUCCUACGGGAGGCAGCAGUAGGGAAUCUUCCGCAAUGGGCGAAAGUCUGACGGAGCAACGCCGCGUGAGUGAUGAAGGUCUUCGGAUCGUAAAACUCUGUUAUUAGGGAAGAACAAAUGUGUAAGUAACUAUGCACGUCUUGACGGUACCUAAUCAGAAAGCCACGGCUAACUACGUG
rnacentral:rRNA from 1 species